rnacentral:rRNA from 1 species
AGAGUUUGAUCAUGGCUCAGAACGAACGCUGGCGGCAUGCCUAACACAUGCAAGUCGAACGAGACCUUCGGGUCUAGUGGCGCACGGGUGCGUAACGCGUGGGAAUCUGCCCUUGGGUUCGGGAUAACAGUUGGAAACGACUGCUAAUACCGGAUGAUGACUUCGGUCCAAAGAUUUAUCGCCCAGGGAUGAGCCCGCGUAGGAUUAGCUAGUUGGUGAGGUAAAGGCUCACCAAGGCGACGAUCCUUAGCUGGUCUGAGAGGAUGAUCAGCCACACUGGGACUGAGACACGGCCCAGACUCCUACGGGAGGCAGCAGUGGGGAAUAUUGGACAAUGGGCGAAAGCCUGAUCCAGCAAUGCCGCGUGAGUGAUGAAGGCCUUAGGGUUGUAAAGCUCUUUUACCCGGGAUGAUAAUGACAGUACCGGGAGAAUAAGCCCCGGCUAACUCCGUGCCAGCAGCCGCGGUAAUACGGAGGGGGCUAGCGUUGUUCGGAAUUACUGGGCGUAAAGCGUACGUAGGCGGCUUUGUAAGUUAGAGGUGAAAGCCCAGAGCUCAACUCUGGAAUUGCCUUUAAGACUGCAUCGCUUGAAUCGUGGAGAGGUUAGUGGAAUUCCGAGUGUAGAGGUGAAAUUCGUAGAUAUUCGGAAGAACACCAGUGGCGAAGGCGACUAACUGGACACGUAUUGACGCUGAGGUACGAAAGCGUGGGGAGCAAACAGGAUUAGAUACCCNNGUAGUCC